UUUGAUGAUGAUAAGAGGGUCGAAAGAUCGAUGAUAUACGCUGGAAAAACUGAUU
rnacentral:snoRNA from 16 species